rnacentral:rRNA from 1 species
GACCUACGGGUGAAAGCAGGGGAUCUUCGGACCUUGCGCGAUUGAAUGAGCCGAUGUCGGAUUAGCUAGUUGGCGGGGUAAAGGCCCACCAAGGCGACGAUCCGUAGCUGGUCUGAGAGGAUGAUCAGCCACACUGGAACUGAGACACGGUCCAGACUCCUACGGGAGGCAGCAGUGGGGAAUAUUGGACAAUGGGCGCAAGCCUGAUCCAGCCAUACCGCGUGGGUGAAGAAGGCCUUCGGGUUGUAAAGCCCUUUUGUUGGGAAAGAAAUCCAGCCGGCUAAUACCUGGUUGGGAUGACGGUACCCAAAGAAUAAGCACCGGCUAACUUCGUGCCAGCAGCCGCGGUAAUACGAAGGGUGCAAGCGUUACUCGGAAUUACUGGGCGUAAAGCGUGCGUAGGUGGUCGUUUAAGUCCGUUGUGAAAGCCCUGGGCUCAAACCCUGGGAAACUGCAGUGGAUACUGGGCGACUAGAGUGUGGUAGAGGGUAGCGGAAAUUCCUGGUGUAGCAGUGAAAUGCGUAGAGAUCAGGAGGAACAUGCCAUGGCGAAGGCAGCUACCUGGACCAACACUGACACU